UACGUAGGGGGCUAGCGUUGUCCGGAAUCAUUGGGCGUAAAGAGCGCGUAGGCGGCCAGCUAAGUCCGGUGUGAAAGUCACAGGCUCAACCUGUGAAUGCCGCUGGAAACUGUCUGGCUAGAGUCCGGAAGGGGCGAGUGGAAUUCCUGGUGUAGCGGUGAAAUGCGCAGAUAUCAGGAGGAACACCAAUGGCGAAGGCAGCUCGCUGGAACGGUACUGACGCUGUGGCGCGAAAGCGUGGGGAGCAAACAGG
rnacentral:rRNA from 1 species